GAUGAACGCUAGCGGCAGGCUUAAUACAUGCAAGUCGAGGGGUAGCAAGAUUGUAGCAAUACAAUUGUUGACGACCGGCAAACGGGUGCGGAACACGUACACAACCUUCCUACAAGUGGGGAAUAGCCCAGAGAAAUUUGGAUUAAUACCCCGUAACAUAGCGAUGUGGCAUCACAUUGCUAUUAUAGCUUCGGCGCUUGUUGAUGGGUGUGCGGCUGAUUAGAUAGUUGGCGGGGUAACGGCCCACCAAGUCUAUGAUCAGUAGCUGAUGUGAGAGCAUGAUCAGCCACACGGGCACUGAGACCCGGGCCCGACUCCUACGGGAGGCAGCAGUAAGGAAUAUUGGACAAUGGACGCAAGUCUGAUCCAGCCAUGCCGCGUGAAGGAUUAAGGUCCUCUGGAUUGUAAACUUCUUUUAUAAGGGACGAAAAAAGGUCUUUCUAGAUCGUCUGACGGUACCUUAUGAAUAAGCACCGGCUAACUCCGUGCCAGCCGCCGCCGUAACAC
rnacentral:rRNA from 1 species